GGGAAUUUCCAUUUUUAUGAGGAAGUCCAUGCUAGCACUGGCUGUGAUGCCUGGUAGUGUUUGUGCUAGGCGAAUAAUAAGCCUAGGGACGGAUUUUUCCGUUACGGCGACUGAAAGGGCUAACUCUUUGGAUAUGUCAGAUUACGUCUGAAAGUGCCACAGUGACAUACUUCUUUUGGAAACAGAAAAAGUGGAACGCGGUAAACCCCUCCUCGUAACCCCCCA
rnacentral:misc_RNA from 1 species